rnacentral:rRNA from 1 species
GACGAACGCUGGCGGCGUGCUUAACACAUGCAAGUCGAACGGAAAGGCCCUGCUUUUGUGGGGUGCUCGAGUGGCGAACGGGUGAGUAACACGUGAGUAACCUGCCCUUGACUUUGGGAUAACUUCAGGAAACUGGGGCUAAUACCGGAUAGGAGCUCCUGCUGCAUGGUGGGGGUUGGAAAGUUUCGGCGGUUGGGGAUGGACUCGCGGCUUAUCAGCUUGUGGGUGGGGUAGUGGCUUACCAAGGCUUUGACGGGUAGCCGGCCUGAGAGGGUGACCGGCCACAUUGGCACUGAGAUACGGCCCAGACUCCUACGGGAGGCAGCAGUGGGGAAUAUUGCACAAUGGGCGGAAGCCUGAUGCAGCAACGCCGCGUGCGGGAUGACGGCCUUCGGGUUGUAAACCGCUUUCGCCUGUGACGAAGCGUGAGUGACGGUAAUGGGUAAAGAAGCACCGGCUAACUACGUG